rnacentral:rRNA from 1 species
CUACGGGGGGCUGCAGUGGGGGAUAUUGCACAAUGGAGGAAACUCUGAUGCAGCAACGCCGCGUGAAGGAAGACGGUUUUCGGAUUGUAAACUUCUAUCAGCUGGGAAGAAAAUGACGGUACCAGACUAAGAAGCCCCGGCUAACUACGUGCCAGCAGCCGCGGUAAUACGUAGGGGGCAAGCGUUAUCCGGAUUUACUGGGUGUAAAGGGUUCGUAGGCGGUUAUUUAAGUCAGAUGUGAAAGCCCGAGGCUCAACCUCGGGACUGCAUUUGAAACUGGAUAACUAGAGUACAGGAGAGGAAAGCGGAAUUCCUAGUGUAGCGGUGAAAUGCGUAGAUAUUAGGAAGAACACCAGUGGCGAAGGCGGCUUUCUGGACUGUAACUGACGCUGAUGAACGAAAGCGUGGGGAGCGAACAGGAUUAGAUACCCGUGUAGUC